AGAUUUCAAAUAACUUCAUUACAAAAGUUACAAGAACCAUCAAAACCUUAUUUUUGUAAAAAAAAUAUAUAAAGCUAAAAAUAUAUACAUCGAUAAAUAACAAACACUUACGCUCCACCAUAUUCACAACCGAUAAAAUCAUUUUGCGCUAUCGCGCGAUUGCUCAACUAGUUUCUUAAAAAUUGAGAACAUUCUUACUGUAGCUUAUAAACAGUAUUUUGCCAUUAGCUUUACGGAGUAUAUUGUCUUCUGGACUACACUUCCUACUGUAGCUUUUUCAGUACUCUUUCUCUCUGUAAUCAACUAAUCACACUCCAUCUCUCUAUUCCAUUGAAGCGUGAGCUGAUUUUCUCAUCCUCACAUCUCCAACAGCUCACGCUACACCAUUGGUUGAAGUUUAAAUUGGCUGCUACCGCCGGCCUCCCACCCAAGAAUAUCCUAGCAUUUUCCCCAAUUUUUCCUUCUCCGAUCAACAUCAAUUUAAACCCUAAUUCCUAAAACAGAUUCGACACCCACGAAUAUCUCAAUACCACCUCCAGAUUUUGAUCUUUCUCCGAGCUCUCCAAUGAAGGCUUGAAGGGUACUCUGCGUUUUAUCUCUCCUCCAUUAAAGUAACUCCUUGAGAAAUUUGGAGGAUUACGGCUAGCUUAGUAGCUUAUCUCAAACGGAUUGAGGAACUUGAACAGAAUGAACAUCCUUCAUCGUAAAAAAUCUCCUGACCUUGUUCUCAAGGUUCGCAAACUCUAAUCCUAACUCUCUAUGGUUUUAUUGCUUUCUUGCUGUGAUUGAAUUCGUCUUUGAUCUUAUAUUAGCAUUUGUUUGGUUUGAUUCGGGAUUAAAUGUGUCGAAUUAUCAAGCUAUGGGAGCUUUGAACGAAUUGAGGAAGCUAGAAUUGUUCUUUAAGGAUGAGAGCAGGCAUGGUCUUUCAGUUAUUGAUCUUUACAAACUUGUUCAACAUGGUAGCUAUGUGUUACCGAGGCUGUUGUUAACUUAUUUAAAUUACAAGGACCAGCAGAUCUUAUUUUACUCAGUUUGGAGAUGAAUAAUGGGCUGGUAAUCAUUUCAAUUACAAGGACCAGUAGGUCAUAUUUUACUCACUACGAGUCCCCUCGUACCAAUAUUUUGGUAUCUCCUCAGUGCAACACGAAUGUAUUCAACGAACUAUUAUGGAACUGCUCCCAUUGUUGCCGACACCUCUAUCGUCUACUGCCACAACCUCUCAAGUUUCAUUUUCCCCUAACGGCUUGCUGAGCGAAUAGGAACCACCCUUCUACCAAUAAAGUGAAUAACAAGUCUCUUCCAGCAUUGGUAGAGGCAGUCCCUGAAGCUGCCAUUGCUAAACAUAGCUUCCCCAAAGUUGAAUCCCUGAGCCACAAGCAAUGGCACUUGCACAGCCUGCCGUUGAACGAGCAGCAUAAGCACCUUUCCAGAGAUCCAUUCCUCACACCAGAAUGAAGACAGAGUUUGGGACAAUAAAGGAAAGAAUAUGUGAGUGGGAGCAAGUGCAACCUAUAAUUUUCAAAGUCAUGAAAAAAAGAGGGAUCAUGGAGACAAGGCUACGGGGGAGAUAAAAGGAAAUAAAUAAAGAAAUCAAAGGAAUGAAGACGAAAAGCAUUUCAAGAGACCAUUCUUAAUAUUUAAUUGUGGAAGAGACUUUGAGGCUAUAGAGGAGGGAAAUGGAGAGAAAUUAGGGCCAUCUAUAUGAAUAAUAAAUACAUACUUCCUCUGUUCUUUUUUACUUGACAUGUUUCUUUUAUCACGCUUGCCAAUGCAAAACUUUAACGAUCAAUAAC